CUAUUUGCUAAUGUUAGUAAAAUGUAUACCAUAAAGAAAUAAACUUCAGAGGACAUAAAGCACACACCUGGGGGCUACCAACUCGGUUAGCAAAGGUUCUGUUCCUCAGCACUCAAACACCUCCAGCUGAAGUUGGCUCUCCAUGACAACUUUCUGUUCACAACAGAGCUACACACCAGGACAGGAUGGGUACCACCCUUCCUUGCAGUGUGACAAAUAUUUGUGGAGGAACGGAUUCAUUUCCUUUUAAGCUGGUCUGCAGAGAAAGUCCCCUUUUUUCAUGAGAAAUGGAUGGAAAGAGAGGGUGAAUGGAGGGAGGAGAGGACAGGAGGGUCACACCUCACGUGGAGGCACAGGUACUCUCCAGCAUCCACAAAGGUUGAAGAACUACCUCCACCACUCGGGAAAGAAGAUCUUUCCAGAGGAAGAAGAGAUUGGGAGUCGGACACUUGGCCUGGACAAAGACUCCCACAGGUAGCUAUUACCUGGAAGACUUCACCUGCCCUCCUCAGCCUUCAUAGCCAGAUGCCACUUCUUUCCACCCAAAGCCUAAGCCCAUUUGUAUUUGUUUAACUCUAUAAAAGCUCCAACACCCUAGCUCUCCCUUGAGCCUCAUGCUUUGUGUAUGGCUCUCAUGUUUCUGCAUAUUAAUAAAUUUGAUAUUUUUUUCUGUUAA